rnacentral:rRNA from 1 species
AGUAGCUGAUUUCACACUGUCAAGAAAAGUCUCUAUCGAGGUUAAAGGUACCCGUACCGCAAACCGACACAGGUGGGUGAGGAGAGUAUCCUAAGGCCAGCGAGAGAACUGUUGUUAAGGAACUCGGCAAAAUGACCCCGUAACUUAGGGAUAAGGGGUGCCACCAUCUGGUGGCCGCAGAGAAUAGGCCCAAGCGACUGUUUACCAAAAACAUAGGUUUCUGCUAAGUCGCAAGACGAUGUAUAGGAGCUGACGCCUGCCCGGUGCUGGAAGGUUAAGGGGAUCUGUUAGAGCAAUCGAAGCAGUGAACUUAAGCCCCAGUAAACGGCGGCCGUAACUAUAACGGUCCUAAGGUAGCGAAAUUCCUUGUCGGGUAAGUUCCGACCCGCACGAAAGGCGUAACGAUUUGGGCACUGUCUCAACAACAGACUCGGUGAAAUUGUAAUUCCGGUGAAGAUGCCGGAUACCUGCGACAGGACGGAAAGACCCCAUGGAGCUUUACUGUAGCUUGACAUUGGGUCUUGGUACUACAUGUACAGGAUAGGUGGGAGGCUUUGAAACCAGGACGCCAGUUUUGGCGGAGCCAUCCUUGGGAUACCACCCUUGUAGUACUGGGACUCUAACCAUAGGCCAUGAAUCUGGUCUUGGGACACUGUCAGGUGGGCAGUUUGACUGGGGCGGUCGCCUCCCAAAAGGUAACGGAGGCGCUCAAAGGUUCUCUCAGUACGGUCGGAAAUCGUACGUAGAGUGUAAAGGCAAAAGAGAGCUUGAUUGCAAGACAUACAGGUCGAGCAAGGAUGAAAAUCGGACUUAGUGAUCCGGUGGUUCUGCGUGGAAGGGCCAUCGCUCAACGGAUAAAAGCUACCCUGGGGAUAACAGGCUUAUCUCCCCCAAGAGUCCACAUCGACGGGGAGGUUUGGCACCUCGAUGUCGGCUCAUCACAUCCUGGGGCUGUAGUAGGUCCCAAGGGUUGGGCUGUUCGCCCAUUAAAGUGGUACGCGAGCUGGGUUCAGAACGUCGUGAGACAGUUCGGUCCCUAUCCGUCGCAGGCGUAGGAAAUUUGAGAAGACCUGUCCUUAGUACGAGAGGACCGGGAUGGACG